CAUCUCCCCAAAGCCGUUCUCUCUACCCCUUUCCCUUCUCUUCUUCAUCUUCCAAACGACGCUGCUCACUCCCAAAAGACCCCAACCAACAAUCUCCGCUGGCCUCAACAAUCCAAAUCGACACCCACUCAUUAUACUUUCAACCGAGACCCCCUCACGCCGCUCAUCUUCGACCCCUCUUCUCUUUUCUCGUGACCACCGAUCUCCAAAGGCCACAACGCUGUCAGUCGAGAUCCCAUAGGCUCUAACCCUAAUGCUCCUCAGUUGUUUCUUUCUUUGAAGAGAAGAUGGAGACCAUGGCCACCAAUGACAAAGGCUUCGGUUUGGGUUCUCCGAUGAAGACCCAACACACAAAGGACGAAGAUCGAAGGCUCUCUUUGGUGCCAGGGCCCCCACGAACCAGGUUUUUUACUCUGGUGACUCGCUGUCUUCUCUCUUUCCCAAAGAUGGUCUUUAGACUCUCUAACGCCGGCGACGAAACCAAAUAAAAAGGUCUCUCGAACAAAUCUCCACGCUUCGGUCUCAAGCCACAGUGGUUCAAACACGCUCUCGAUUUGUCAAUGGGUUUGCUGAAUUCUGGGAUUCAUCUGUUCCAAUCCUGUUGUAAUUGUUAUCAUUUUUUUUCUUUUUCGGGCCUGUAAACAUAAAACCUUCAUUUAGUGAAUUAAA